CUACAUCUGUGCAGUUGGUAGUGGCAAAAACAGCAAGCCAAUCUAAGAGUCUUAGAUUAUGAUCCCUUAGAAGAUGGAUCACCACUUGGAAAGAGCCACAGUAUUGAGUCUUUGUCCUUGAUCUGCGUGCUGGAAUGGGGCCUCACUCUUCUGUUCUGCCUAUCUGGCCUUCAUCUGGAAUUGCUAGUGUGCAGUAAAGAGCAUGGCUGUGCAUCUGGGAGACUGGAAUGGCCAGGAAGUGUUCAGAAUUUGACCAAGCGCCGGAGUGAAGUGGCCGCUUGAUUAAAGCCCCUGAAACUGCUGUUGUUCUCUCAGCUGCCCAGUGGGAUGAAAGGACCGUGUGUCACUAUGGACACGGCGUGGCAAAGCAAGGAUCCAUAUGCCCUGCAGGAAGUGUGGUGCUUUUCGUUUUCUUUAAACUGAGAGACAAUCUCUUCCUGGCCAGCUGGCAAGCACAGGGAACUGAAUAAGGUUCAUGCCCUACAGUGACUGUAGGCAGGUGCAUCGCUUCCAGGAGGUGGCCUUGGUUCUUCCAUUGCAAGAACAAACAAUUUGAAAAUUAUCCAAAAGUUUGAUUGGUGUCUGGGAGGCAGGAAGCAUUGCCUGAGUAGCUACCUGUCUUACAGCAUGUUCUCCAGAGCUGAUGUUUGGGUCUGAUGAAGGAAGUGCCAUCUGCAUCUGAUGAGACCAACUGAGCUUUUUUGGGAACAUUUUCCAGGAAGAAUUUGUCUCUAGCGCACUGUUCAA
ensembl:lncRNA